rnacentral:rRNA from 1 species
GAUCCUGGCUCAGAUUGAACGCUGGCGGAAUGCUUUACACAUGCAAGUCGAACGGUAGAGGGGGCAACCCCUUGAGAGUGGCGAACGGGUGAGUAAUGCAUCGGAACGUGCCCAGUCGUGGGGGAUAACGCAGCGAAAGCUGUGCUAAUACCGCAUACGAUCUAUGGAUGAAAGCGGGGGAUCGCAAGACCUCGCGCGAUUGGAGCGGCCGAUGUCAGAUUAGCUAGUUGGUGGGGUAAAGGCCCACCAAGGCGACGAUCUGUAGCUGGUCUGAGAGGACGACCAGCCACACUGGGACUGAGACACGGCCCAGACUCCUACGGGAGGCAGCAGUGGGGAAUUUUGGACAAUGGGCGCAAGCCUGAUCCAGCAAUGCCGCGUGCAGGAAGAAGGCCUUCGGGUUGUAAACUGCUUUUGUACGGAACGAAAAGGUCUGGGUUAAUACCCUGGGCUCAUGACGGUACCGUAAGAAUAAGCACCGGCUAACUACGUG